rnacentral:lncRNA from 10 species
AAAUGUCUGUGAACUGGUGAGCAGAUACCCGAGUUGAAGUGUAUCCAUGCAACAGCAUAUACUACUCAACCAUGAAAAGGAACGGGCGACUAAUGCAUGCUCCAACGGGGGUGACUCAAAACCUUCGCUCGGUAAGAAAUCCAGGCAGAAGAGACCAUGCACUGCACCAUUCCACCCCUAACAUUUCUAGAAAAGGCAAAAUAACAGUGGCAGGAAUGAAAUCAGGGAUUGUCAUCAGGACGGGAAGAAGGGAUUGGCUGGGGUUGGGCGACACAAGGGGCUUUUGUGGUGGCAGAAAUGUCCUCUAUCCUGAUUGUGGGGGUGGCACAUGGCUGGGUGCCCUUGUCAAGACCUGUUGAAUUGUACCCUUCAAUCGGUGACAUUUAUUGCAUAUAAAUUAGCCUCAAUAAAGUUAAUUUAAAAGUACCUGCGUACUCUUCCGCGCAAAUGUGUUGGAACAGACACUUAGUGCCAUAAACAGUCACAGCAAGGAUCUGCCGCUGAGCACUGAGGGGUAAUGGGAGGUUCUGGGGCAAGAAGAGCUUUUGAGGACUCCAUAAGGACAGAGGCGGGGACGGUGGGAAGGAGUGGGCAGUGUGGGUGGAAGGCAGGGGCUUGGGGACAGCGAGGGGGAGGCCUGCAGCAGGGGCGCGGCUCUGGAGAACAAGGGAGCAGGGGCUGUGGGGAGCGGUCGCUGCAGGGUUGGACGGAUGCUAGGCCAAGGUGGGGCCAGCGGCACGGGUUCCCAGGUGAGUGGGGCUGGGACCGGAUGGGAGGGAGUGACCUCCCCAUCACGUGGAGGCUGAGUUGAUGACGAUGGGAAGAGCAGCGGGGGCCAAAAAGGGAGGGACGGCCCGGCACGCCGUGCACUCGAUGCCCAACGGGCCCCCAUUUAAGGGAAUGUUGCAGUGAAUUUGCCUGACUCCAGCGAAUGGUGCCUGUGAAGUCCAGGAGCAUAGAGCUGGUGUAAGGAAGCUCAAAACCCAUUUGCAGAGAGAAAGAAGAUAAUGCCUCCGAAUGAGAACCUUUUCAGUUCCUGUUCUUUGGAAACACUUUGGGAAAUUUUUGAGGCCAGGAGUUCCAAGCUGCAGUGUGUGAUUAUCGUGUCUGUGAAUGGCCACGGCACUCCAGCCUGGGCAACAUAGCAAGACCUCAUCUCUUUAAAAAAGACAGGUCUGAGCAGCUCCUAGGGGCCAAUCCCUAUUCGAGGCAACAGCAGAGGGAAGACAAGAAGAUGGCUACAUGCACCCACCACCUGACUGCAGCAGCUCACAGGCCCCCCAGGGCUGGCAUUGCCUGACCCAGGGAAUGUGGCAAGGGGUGCCACCAAGGCAAACACAGGAGGAAUCUUUAGACGGUGUGCUGGUCCCCACACCAGCCUCUGACUUGAAGUGCCUCCAUUCCCCUAGCAAAUGCAUGAAACAAAAGUUGUGCAGGCCUCACGUCUGAUUGAUUCUCUUCUCUUUGUGGACAUACGUUAGACUUAGAAAUAAACUCGUAUUAAAAGAUAUUUUUAAUGGCUUUUUCUUCCCUUACUUAGAGGCAAAUAAUGAUAAGCUAUACUUCAGUAUGUAUUUUAGGCUUGAAAUCAU